rnacentral:rRNA from 1 species
UACGUAGGUGACAAGCGUUGUCCGGAUUUACUGGGCGUAAAGAGCGCGCAGGCGGUCGAUCAAGUCGAGUGUGAAAGCCCCCGGCUCAACUGGGGAGGGUCAUUCGAUACUGAUCGACUCGAAGGCAGGAGAGGGUAGUGGAAUUCCCGGUGUAGUGGUGAAAUGCGUAGAUAUCGGGAGGAACACCAGUGGCGAAGGGCGAACUAC